UUUGGAGCGGUGAUGAUACAUUGUGGACUAGAGUUUCUGAUACUGCCACUUCAGUAGUAUUUGAAGACAAACCCUUGGCUGUCUGAGCUCCAGG